UGUAUUUCCUGACGAAAGGAGUAUACGCCUUGUGGCAUAAGCAAGUAUGAGUCCACUACUAUCUAUGUAACUGAUUAUUAUAUUCAUUAGUUUGACGUAAACACCUGAUGUGAAUAAGUUUCGGUCCCUCUCGUGGAAUGACACUUGCUAUAAAAAGAACUUAUUUGGAGGCCAAGUUUAUAUAGUUUUUGUGAGGAAGAGGAGGAAAUUAAGCAUGCCUAUCAACAAAGGCACAACAUGUGUUUUGUUAGUGAUGAUUUUCUUUGUGUUGUCCAUGAAUUCUUGGUGUGAAUAUGGUGAAGCGGCAAGAAUAUUCUUAGACUUCUCUACAAGUACUCAAGCGACACAAAGGAUGGACUACGUGGGCAGCAGCCACCGCCGGAGCACCAGGGCAUCUCCCCGUGGGGGCUAUCCUUCCCCGGCAGCAAAUGUGAAUGACCAUGUACAUCACUAGUGAUGAAUCUCUAUUUUGUUGUGGACUUAAUUCUCAUUUGAUUAUAUAAUGAGACUUUGUUUGAUUGUAUUUGUGUUUAUGCUAUUUCUA